GGUUAAGCGACUAAGCGUACACGGUGGAUGCCCUGGCAGUCAGAGGCGAUGAAGGACGUGCUAAUCUGCGAUAAGCGUCGGUAAGGUGAUAUGAACCGUUAUAACCGGCGAUUUCCGAAUGGGGAAACCCAGUGUGAUUCGUCACACUAUCAUUACGUGAAUACAUAGCGUAAUGAAGCGAACCGGGGGAACUGAAACAUCUAAGUACCCCGAGGAAAAGAAAUCAACCGAGAUUCCCCCAGUAGCGGCGAGCGAACGGGGAGCAGCCCAGAGUCUGAAUCAGCUUGUGUGUUAGUGGAACGGUCUGGAAAGUCCGACGGUACAGGGUGAUAGUCCCGUACACCAAAAUGCACAGGUUGUGAACUCGAAGAGUAGGGCGGGACACGUGGUAUCCUGUCUGAAUAUGGGGGGACCAUCCUCCAAGGCUAAAUACUCCUGACUGACCGAUAGUGAACCAGUACCGUGAGGGAAAGGCGAAAAGAACCCCGGCGAGGGGAGUGAAAAAGAACCUGAAACCGUGUACGUACAAGCAGUGGGAGCAUCCUUUUGGGUGUGACUGCGUACCUUUUGUAUAAUGGGUCAGCGACUUAUAUUCUGUAGCAAGGUUAACCGUAUAGGGGAGCCGAAGGGAAACCGAGUCUUAACUGGGCGUUAAGUUGCAGGGUAUAGACCCGAAACCCGGUGAUCUAGCCAUGGGCAGGUUGAAGGUUGGGUAACACUAACUGGAGGACCGAACCGACUAAUGUUGAAAAAUUAGCGGAUGACUUGUGGCUGGGGGUGAAAGGCCAAUCAAACCGGGAGAUAGCUGGUUCUCCCCGAAAGCUAUUUAGGUAGCGCCUCGUGAACUCAUCUUCGGGGGUAGAGCACUGUUUCGGCUAGGGGGUCAUCCCGACUUACCAACCCGAUGCAAACUGCGAAUACCGAAGAAUGUUAUCACGGGAGACACACGGCGGGUGCUAACGUCCGUCGUGAAGAGGGAAACAACCCAGACCGCCAGCUAAGGUCCCAAAGUCAUGGUUAAGUGGGAAACGAUGUGGGAAGGCACAGACAGCCAGGAUGUUGGCUUAGAAGCAGCCAUCAUUUAAAGAAAGCGUAAUAGCUCACUGGUCGAGUCGGCCUGCGCGGAAGAUGUAACGGGGCUAAACCAUGCACCGAAGCUGCGGCAGCGACACUAUGUGUUGUUGGGUAGGGGAGCGUUCUGUAAGCC
rnacentral:rRNA from 1 species